CAGCAGCCGCGGUAAUACGUAGGUGGCAAGCGUUGUCCGGAAUUAUUGGGCGUAGAGGGCUCGCAGGCGGUUUCUUAAGUCUGAUGUGAAAGCCCCCGGCUCAACCGGGGAGGGUCAUUGGAAACUGGGAAACUUGAGUGCAGAAGGGGAGAGUGGAAUUCCACGUGUAGCGGUGAAAUGCGUAGAGAUGUGGAGGAACACCAGUGGCGAAGGCGACUCUCUGGUCUGUAACUGACGCUGAGGAGCGAAAGCGUGGGGAGCGAACAGGAUUAGAUACCCCUGUAGUCCCUGUCUCUUAUAC
rnacentral:rRNA from 1 species